UCUUCUCAUACUGAAAAACUAACAAGCCAUUGUCCUGCUCAGAUCCAAACCAAACAAGGUGCUUCUGGUAUCAUUUUGGAGUCCAUGACAGGAAUUGAGAGAGAAGUAUCAGCAAGUUUGUCACCUGUCUACUGAUCUUAAUUGGCCAUUGCAUAAGGACCCAUUGAAGAGUUUGACACACGCACAGAGGAAAAGAGAUGUUGGGACCGC